rnacentral:tRNA from 1 species
GGAGGUCUGUCCGAGCGGCCGAAGGAGUUAGUCUUGAAAACUAAUGAACUGAAAGGUUCCGUGGGUUCGAAUCCCACGGCCUCCGCCA